rfam:Myotis davidii contig229887, whole genome shotgun sequence.
AGGCCAGAAGAGAGAGGCAGGGUCUGAUCCGCAGCCUCCGUGGCAGCUGUUGAUCAGCCAAUGUCUCUCUCUUUCUCUCCG